GGAUCGGUAGCUUAGUUGGAAAAGCACUUGUCUAGCGAAUCGGGGUCGUGAGUUCAAAUCUCACCUGAGCUG
rnacentral:tRNA from 1 species